rnacentral:tRNA from 1 species
GCCUGUGUAGCUCAGUGGAUAAAGAGCGUUGGCCUGCGGACUCAAGGGUUCCAGGUUCGAUUCCGGUCAAGGGCA